GACGUAGGGCGCGAGCGUUGUCCGGAUUUAUUGGGCGUAAAGAGCUCGUAGGCGGUGUGUCGCGUCGGCCGUGAAAACCUGCAGCUUAACUGUGGGCUUGCGGUCGAUACGGGCAUCACUGGAGUUCGGCAGGGGAGACUGGAAUUCCUGGUGUAGCGGUGAAAUGCGCAGAUAUCAGGAGGAACACCGGCGGCGAAGGCGGGUCUCUGGGCCGAUACUGACGCUGAGGAGCGAAAGCGUGGGGAGCGAACAGG
rnacentral:rRNA from 1 species